rnacentral:misc_RNA from 1 species
GAUGAAGAACGUAGUGAAAUGCGAUACGUAAUGUGAAUUGCAAAUUCAGUGAAUCAUCGAGUCUUUGAACGCACAUUGCGCCCCCUGGUAUUCCGGGGGGCAUGCCUGUCCGAGCGUCAUUGCUGCCCUCAAGCACGGCUUGUGUGUUGGGCCCCGUCCUCCGAUCCCGGGGGACGGGCCCGAAAGGCAGCGGCGGCACCGCGUCCGGUCCUCGAGCGUAUGGGGCUUUGUCACCCGCUCUGUAGGCCCGGCCGGCGCUUGCCGAUCAACCCAAUUUUUUAUCCAGGUUGACCUCGGAUCAGGUAGGGAUACCCGCUGAACUUAAGCAUAUCAAUAAGCGGAGGA